AUAAUCUGCCCUUAUGAUUGGAAUNNNNNANGNAAACGGCUGCUAAUACCGGAUACGCUCAAAAUGAACUUUUUGAGGAAAGAUGGCCUCUGCUUGCAUGCUAUCGCAUAANGAUGAGUCCGCGUCCCAUUAGCUUGUUGGCGGGGUAACGGCCCACCAAGGCAUCGAUGGGUAGCCGAUUUGAGAGGAUGAUCGGCCACACUGGAACUGAAACACGGUCCAGACUCCUACGGGAGGCAGCAGUGGGGAAUAUUGCGCAAUGGGCGAAAGCCUGACGCAGCGACGCCGCGUGAGGGAUGAAGGUUUUCGGAUCGUAAACCUCUGUCAGAAGGGAAGAAACUACGUUGUGCUAAUCAGCNNCGUACUGACGGUACCUUCAAAGGAAGCACCGGCUAACUCCGUGCCAGCAGCCGCGGUAAUACGGAGGGUGCAAGCGUUAAUCGGAAUUACUGGGCGUAAAGCGCACGUAAGCUGUAGUGUAAGUCAGG
rnacentral:rRNA from 1 species